AUGCCGGGGCUCGGUGAAUUUUUGGGGUACUUAUACUCCGAGGAGCAUGUGGCGAAAAUUGGAAGCUACUCGCUACAAGAUCUCAAAGGGAUCAGUCCUGCCCUCUGCACCAAUCGCAUCCCUAUCGACCCAUCUAGCACACCUAGGCAGCCUCAGCGUAGGCUAAACAAGGCGAUGAGGGAAAUUGUUAAGAAGGAGGUCCUUAAGCUCUUGCACAUCGGGAUAAUCUAUCCAGUGCCACAUAGCGAGUGGGUUAGCCCCAUUCAGAUUGUGCUGAAGAAGGAAGGAAUGACAGUCGUUGAGAAUCUUAACAACAAGCUUAUCGCACAAUGAACCGUCACGGGGUGGAGAAAGUGUAUUGAUUACCAGAAACUUAACUUGGCAACUAAGAAAUAUCACUUCCCGCUGCCCUUCAUUGAUGAAAUAUUAGAGUGGUUGGUGAAGCAUUCUUUCUUUUGUUUCCUUGAUGGGUACUCCGGCUAUCAUAAAAUUCCCAUCCACCCCGAUGAUUAGAGCAAGACCACAUUUACAUGUCCUUAUGGAACAUACGCUUACCGUAGGAUGUCUUUUGGGCUUUGCAAUGCACCCUCGUCGUUCCAAAGGUGCAUGGUGUCUAUUUCUCAGACAUGAUCGAAGAAAUCAUGGAAGUCUUCAUGGACAACUUUUCCAUCUAUGGGAAGACCUUCAAUCAUUGGCUUGAGAAUUAAGACAAGGUCUUGCAGAGAUGCCAAGAAAAGGACCUAGCGCUAAAUUGGGAAAAGUGCCAUUUCAUGGUCCGAGAGGGCAUUGUGCUCGGGAACCUUGUGUCCGAGAGCGGGAUUAAGGUGGAUAGAGCUAAGAUCAAACUUAUAGAACAGCUUUCACCUCCCAUAAAUGUAAAAGGCGUUCGUAGCUUCCUAGGUCAUGUGGGGUUCUAUCGGCGAUUCAUUAAGGAUUUUUCACAGAUCGCUAGAACCCUAACGAGCCUUCAAGCUAAGGAUGCGCCUUUUGAGUUUACCAAUGAGUGUUUAAAGUCUUUUCAUAUCCUAAAAGAAGCACUCAUCUCAGCUCCAAUCAUUCAACCUCCUGAUUGGGAGCUACCGUUCAAAAUAAUGUGUGAUGCUAGUGAUUAUACUGUUGGGGCAGUCCUUGGCCAAACCAAACAUAAGAAGCAUCAUGCAAUUGCUUAUGCAAGCAAAACUUUGACAGGAGCUCAACUAAAUUAUGCAACCACCAAAAAAGAGCUCUUGGCUGUUGUGUUUGCAAUUGAUAAGUUUAGAUCUUACUUGGUUGAUGCAAAAGUUAUUGUCUUUACUGAUCAUGCUGCCUUGAAAUACUUGCUCACCAAGAAAGAUGCUAAACCUCGCUUGCUAAGAUGGAUCCUGCUACACCAAGAAUUUGAUCUUGACAUAGAUAAAAAAGGAGUAGAUAAUACAAUUGUUGAUCAUUUGUCUCAUAUGCCUAUUUCUAACAUGCAGGAUUUACCUAUAAAGACUUCCUACGCGACAACAUGCUACUAAAGGUGACGGACUCCAACCCGUGGUAUGCAAACAUUGUAAAUUUUAUGGUUUCAGGAUAUGUACCACCUAGGGAAAGCAAGAGGAAGCUCAUCUAUGAAAGCGGAUGUCACUUCUGGGACAACCCAUACCUGUAUAGGUGGUCUUCUUGUCAAAGAAACGGCAUAAGUAACGACGCGUCUCCUGCUCCGCCCGCCGCCCCCUCACUCGCGACGCUUCUCCUGUUCCGCCCGCUGCCCCCUCCCUCGCGACGCGUCUCCUCUUUCACCGCCGCCCUCUCCCUCCGUCGCCACCGACAUCUCCCCUCCCUCCGGCUGUUCCACCUGCCGGCGCUCAUGGCCGGGCGCGGCCUGGCCGGAGGCAUGCACCCCCUGGCCUGGCUGAGUUGGGCCUGGCCGGAGGCAUGCACCCCCUGGCGGACGCCCUUCCUGGACACGAAGGUGCGCUGCUACCCGUGGGCCAUCGUUGGCCUCCGCGGCCGCGGCGACCUCGCUAUCGACAACGGGAACAAUACCCUGCUUGACUUCCGCGCCUUCCUGUGGUCCGCCUGCUCGCUGCCGCUGGCGCCGGCGCCCAUGGCGGCGGCGAAGCCGAGGCUGAUGCUGGUGGACCGGCACAAGACGCGCAGCGGCGAGGGUGCCGCCGCGAAGGAGCUCUCAGCGCUGGCCCGCCUCGCGGACUCGUGCGACGUGCUGGUGGGCGAGCACGGCGUGGGGCUAACACACCUCCUGUUCCUCCGCUCCAGGUCCGUGGUCCUCGAGGUGGUGCCGUACGGCCUCGUCGGGGUGGCGUUCACGUACCGGGACUUCUUCAAGCGGCCGGCGCGGGCGCUGCGGCUCCGCACGCUGCUGGAGAGGUACGGCGCGGCGCACCCGGUGAUCAGCGACCCCGUGGGUGUGUACCGGCGCCUCGCCGCGGAGGGGAAGCCCUACGCGUUCAGACACUACUGGAACGAGCAGGACAUCCGGCUCAACGUCACCAGGUUCGACGCUGUCCUGGCGAGGGCGUGUCGGCACGUCGUCGCCCAUCGGUGA